GCUGCCCUGGCAGCUCUCUCCCUCUCUGGCUCUUCCUCCCACAUCUAGUCAUCUGCAUUAGCAGGCUUUUGGCUCCAGUGCUGGCAGUUUAUUGAUUGAAAGGCCCAUGGCCUCGGAUGAGCCAUGGUGACAAGGUCUGGAUGGGACAAACAAGUUGGCUCUUCAGUGACUGUAUUGAAGAUGUGAAACCUGAGGCCCAGAAAGCAGCAAUAACUUGCCCAAGUCCCAGAAGCAGUUAAGUGGCAGAGUUUGAGCCUGGAAGCUUCUAACUCCAAAAGCUCUCCAAUACACUGCAUUGCUUCUUGUCCAGACUAACAGGAAAGUGCUGAGAUCAUGGCUCCAGGUAAAGAACUCCUUGAAUGUCUUUUGAAGCUCUAAUCUAAUGAAGGCAGUGGAUAAAGCCUAGAGUGGAGAAAAAGGGGCUGCAGUCAGAUGCUGGACUCAGACAAGUCACUUAACCGCUGUCUCAGUUUCCUUAAUUGUAAAAUGAGGACAAUAAAAGCAUCUACCACAAUGGGUUA